GGAGAAGUGGCCGAGAGGAUUAAGGCUACAGUCUUGAAAACUGUCGUACGGAAACGUACCGUGAGUUCGAAUCUCACCUUCUCCUCCA
rnacentral:tRNA from 3 species